UACGAAGGGGGCUAGCGUUGCUCGGAAUCACUGGGCGUAAAGCGCACGUAGGCGGAUCGUUAAGUCAGGGGUGAAAUCCUGGAGCUCAACUCCAGAACUGCCUUUGAUACUGGCGACCUUGAGUUCGGGAGAGGUGAGUGGAACUGCGAGUGUAGAGGUGAAAUUCGUAGAUAUCGGGAGGAACACCGGUGGCGAAGGCGGCGAUCUGGGUAGAUACUGACGCUGAGGUGCGAAAGCGUGGGGAGCAAACAGG
rnacentral:rRNA from 1 species